CCAACGGCCCUCUUUAGGGCCACAAUAGCUGUCGAGUACUUUGCA
rfam:Ancylostoma ceylanicum strain HY135 Acey_s0158_scaf, whole genome shotgun sequence.